rnacentral:tRNA from 1 species
GAGCACGUAGCUCAGCGGCAGAGCACUUGCUUGACGUGCAAGGGGUCGCAGGUUCAAAUCCUGCCGUGCUCACCA